rnacentral:rRNA from 1 species
GAGGGGGCAAGCGUUGUUCGGAAUUACUGGGCGUAAAGGGCGCGUAGGCGGCCUUCUAAGUCGAACGUGAAAUCCCCGGGCCCAACCCGGGAACUGCGUCCGAGACUGGAAGGCUUGAAUCCGGGAGAGGGAUGUGGAAUUCCAGGUGUAGCGGUGAAAUGCGUAGAUAUCUGGAGGAACAUCGGUGGCGAAGGCGGCAUCCUGGACCGGUAUUGACGCUGAGGCGCGAAAGCCAGGGGAGCAAACGGGAUUAGAUACCCCGGUAGUCCUGGCCCUAAACGAUGAAUGCUUGGUGUGGCGGGUAUCGAUCCCUGCCGUGCCGAAGCUAACGCAUUAAGCAUUCCGCCUGGGGAGUACGGUCGCAAGGCUG